rnacentral:misc_RNA from 1 species
UGUGCUAAUUUACAUAUGUAUUUCAUUUUUUAUAUGUAGAGAUACAUACGUAUAUUUAAACAAAAAAUAAAUAAUCAAAAAGCAAUCAUUAAGAAAUUAUCGUUAAAAGACCAAUAUGAUAAAGAUUAAUAACUAUAUAGGUAUGUUUAAAAAACUAACUUAUAAUAUUAAUAAAUAAGGACCGCCAUGGACUUGCUUACUUAAAAUAACAACAAAAUAAAUAUAACAAUAAUAUAAUAAUAACAAUAACAAAUAAAGUGCACUUACAAGUUCAUCUCAAAUUACAGUAGUCAUUUAAAUGAAAUUAAUUCUUACUAUCAUUAUUGUUUUGAAUUAAUGAUAAUCAGAUUUAUUAGAUCGUUGAAGCCUUACUCAACAGCUCUAAAGGCUAGCUUAUAUUGAUCUCAUUUUAAUAGGAUUUCUUACCCGUUAAAAAAUAUAUAAAAGAUUUUAAUAAAAAUGUAUGUAGCUAGUUUCGUAGAUACACGCAUCCUUAACCAUAUUUUAUUGAAGGUGAAAAA